rnacentral:lncRNA from 1 species
CUCUCUCUCUCUCUCUCUCUUUCUCUCUUUUGCCUGUUAAACCUCUGCUCCUAAACUCACUCCCUGUGUGUGUCUGUCCAUGUUCUUAAUCUUGGUGUGAGACAAUGAACGCAGGGUAUUUACCCUAGACAAUGAUACCGCUUCACUUCCAGGCCCAUGUGUCUCUUCCUUGGCCUGCAUUUGACUUGUAUUCUUUCCCUGCAGUCAACUGUAACCAUGAGUACAGCAACUUUCUGUGAGCUCUGUGAAUUCUUCCAGUGAAUUAUCAAAGUACAGAGAGCAACUCUGCUGCUUCUCCUCCGGAGUGCGGCACCAUCUUCCUGCUCUUCCUUCCAUUUGCUCUGUUGGCUCCUACUCCCCUUCCACUGAAGUAACUGUAGCUUUCCCCAGGGCUUAGGCCCAGGCCCUGCUGAACCUCCAUCUCUGUGUGUUUGUCUGCACGUCUGCAAUCACUUCAACUCAAACUGCACCCACCAACGACAUGACCCUUAGAAGCUGCCAAAUCCUCAUUGCUGAAUGGUUUCAGUACUGCUACUGCUGGAGAAAAAGAAGAAAAAUUCACAUCCUUCCCCCCAAAAAAGAAAGGAGG